GAGACCCCAGAUCAGGUGGGACUACCCGCUGAGUUUAAGCAUAUCAAUAAA
rnacentral:rRNA from 1 species